GGGGGUUUAGCUCAGUGGUAGAGCAUUUAAAUGCAGAUCAAGAGGUCCCCGGCCUAAAUCCGGGUGCCCCCU
rnacentral:tRNA from 1 species